UACGUAGGGUGCGAGCGUUGUCCGGAAUUACUGGGCGUAAAGAGUUCGUAGGCGGUGUGUCGCGUCGGCCGUGAAAACCUGGGGCUCAACUCUGGGCGUGCGGUCGAUACGGGCAUCACUUGAGUUCGGCAGGGGAGACUGGAAUUCCUGGUGUAGCGGUGAAAUGCGCAGAUAUCGGGAGGAACACCAAUGGCGAAGGCAGCUCGCUGGGACGGUACUGACGCUGAGGCGCGAAAGCGUGGGGAGCAAACAGGG
rnacentral:rRNA from 1 species